UAUCUGCGUGAUAAAACUUGCGAUAGGGAAAUCAGCCGAACACGGCAAAUCCCGGCUGCGAGCGGCACUCACUCACCCCGCGGAGACGAGAGGUGCGCUCGGCCGCAGCUCCCCGGGCCAGCCCCGGCCCCGACCGCCCGCGGCCUGCGGAGGCGGCGGGACGGGCCCUGCCGGGCUCACCCCUGCCACGACCGAGGGCUUCCCCAACCAGGACACCCCCAACCCCUCACGGCGAGGCGGGGCCGGAGGAGCCGUGCCCGCUAAGGGGCUGGGGCCGUGAGGGUGUCGUGUAUUCGGGGCGAAGGAGCCAAAGCCGGCUCGGGGCCGAGGGCGUUCGCCGCGCGUUGGCCGAGGCAGGGGCGGCCGUUCCCCUCCGCCCAAGCCGCUGUUGGGCGUCGGCCUCUUCCGCCGCUGCCCCCGGCUCGGCUCAGCCCCGCCCCGAGCGGCGGCGGCGGCUCCUUGACCCCGGUGCUGUCCGUCCCGGUGGUGCGGGCAUGGUCGUGUCCUGGGCGCUGCCCGCGCCCCUCAGCCCGGCGCAGCUGAAGCGCCUGGAGGAGCACCGCUACAGCGCGGCCGGGCACUCGCUGCUGGAGCCGUGGCUGCAGCCCUACUGGGGCUGGCUGGUGGAGCAGGUCCCGCGGGGGCUGGCGCCCAACGCCAUCACCAUGGGCGGCCUCCUGCUGAACUGCCUGACGGUGCUGCCGCUCAUCGCCUGCUGCCCCAGCGCCACCGAGCAGGCACCUUUUUGGGCAUACAUCCUGGGUGCUCUAGGACUUUUUAUCUACCAGUCUUUGGAUGCCAUUGAUGGGAAGCAAGCCAGAAGAACAAACAGUAGUUCUCCUCUUGGAGAACUCUUUGAUCAUGGUUGCGACUCUAUUUCCACAGUAUUUGUUGUCCUUGGAUCCUGCAUAGCAAUCCGACUAGGAACAAAUCCUGACUGGUUGUUUUUCUGUUGUUUUGUGGGACUGUUCAUGUUCUAUUCUGCUCACUGGCAGACAUAUGUAUCAGGCAUGCUAAGGUUUGGAAAAAUUGAUGUAACUGAAGUUCAGAUCGCCAUAACAAUGCUGCUCUUGAUAUCUGCCUAUGGAGGAGCAGCAAUAUGGGACUAUAAGGUCCCUUUGCUGGGCUUAGAACUGAAGUUCUUUGCCAUUAUUGGCAUCCUGUGUGGAACAGCACUUUCUUUCUUCAAUUACUUCCGUGUUAUCUUUGGUGGAGGGGUUGGAAAGAAUGGAUCUACAAUAGCAGGAACAAGUGUUCUUUCACCAGGCCUGCACAUUGGACUGCUUAUCGCUCUGGCCAUUACAAUUUAUAAAAAGUCUAAAACUCAGCUGUUUGAAAAACAUUCUUGCCUGUAUGUCUUGACAUUUGGACUUGUGAAUGCCAAAAUCUCACAGAAGCUGGUGGUGGCUCACAUGACAAAAAGUGAAAUUUCUCUUCAGGAUUCUGCAUUUAUUGGGCCAGGACUUCUGUUUUUGGACCAGUACUUCAACAGUUUCAUUGAUGAAUAUAUUGUUCUGUGGAUAGCAUUGUUCAUAUCCUUGUUUGAUAUGCUGAGAUAUGCCUGUGGUGUAUGCCUACAGAUUGCCGCUCAUCUUCAUAUACAUGUCUUCAGAAUUUCAUCUCAUCAAGCUCCUGCGCAGGUUCAAAACCAUAAUGACUGAUUAAAUAGGUCAAGAACAAGAGAAGAAGCAGUUAGGGGAAUGACACAGCCUCUCUGUUUUUUGGGAAGACAGAUUAAGCUUCUGAAGAAAACAAUUUUAUGGGAAAGUUCACUGUAUUUCAGACAUUACCAGAUGUUAGAAUUAGUAGAUACAAAGUUCUGCAGAUGCUGUUCUACUUUUGAACUAGUACAUAUUUCCCUGUGUUUCAGACCACAAAUACUACAUUUAAAAAUGUUGCCAUUUCUUGUUAGGUAACUUUAAUUCUGUACUUCUCUUCUGAUGAAUGUAGAUGCAAACCAAGGUGCUUCCAGAAUUCGAAGAGGAGUUUCAUGUUUCCCUAACCCAAUUGUCUAACCUUGUAGCAUUAGUUUCUAAAGUUUUGUUGGAACUACUCUGAAGUGGUUGUCAGAUAUACCAAUGAAUUCAAUCCUGCGUUAUUAAGACUGGUAAAGUGAGGCAGCCAUGAGGUAAAAAAUCAUUCAGUCUCUCUCCUGGUACUUCUAAGGAACAAGCUGUCAGAGCAGUAGAUAAAGGAGGUACAGCUCAGGAAAAUUUCUUCUACUUCAAAGUAUGUUACGAGUGCCUUUAGAAUUCAUGCAUUCUCUAGUAUCCAAGUACAUAACAUACUGCUACCACAUAAAACUUUAGCUUGCACUUUCUUUCAAGGCCAGUUUCUGGUUUUGUGGUCAUAGUAAAGUUAGUCUCAUUGUACUUCAUCCUCAUCUAGACUACAAGUAGCUGUGUAAGGAGAGGACUCUAACUUCAGGCACCCUAACUUGUAUCUGUAAGCCUAUGCAAGUGAAGGACAAAGUUGAUAAACUUCAAUGCCUGUGGCUCCAGCACUGCAGCCCAGCCUUCUGUAUUUCCCGCUGUGGUGUUUUUGCUGUAGCUGUGUUCACUUAUAUAACAAUUGAUUCUAUUGUCUCAUAGCUACCGCUGUACUCUAUCCAAACAAAAGAGCACAAAACUGAAUCAUAAAGUAAAACUCUCCAAAACAGGAACUCAGGCCCAAUAUCAGCUUCUCUCUUCCUUUAAGAACACUGUUAUCCACUGGGUAACAUAAUAUGUCUGAGGGCUGUUGCCAUUAUAGAAAAGCUGAAUUAACUUGUUAUCUGUAUGAAAAAAUGAUUAUUUGCACACAAACCCUAUAAGCUUAAGCUCCUUUCAAGAGGUACUAUUUGAAGAUGUUUUAUGUAAAAAUAUGUUGAAUUUAAGUGUGCAUUACUCCUUCCAGCUGCUGAUAUGUACCUGAGCUUCCAAGUUAAUGAAGUCCUUCCUGAAUUAUCCAACAAAGAAUUCCAUGGUACAUGUUGCUUCUCCACUGAGCCAUCAGAAUAACAUGGACUGAAGAGACUUGCGAACAGUUGCCAU